rnacentral:lncRNA from 1 species
UCACUUAUAAUAGUUCUUACUUGAUCUAACACCGAGCAUAACUAUACUUCUGGUUACAUCAAUAGCCUUGAAAUCAGUUUUAGUGAAUAUGAAUUUCAAGUCAUCAUCACAUAACUAGCAUAUACUGAUGAAAAUGGCUUUCAAUCCUUUGGAAAGCACUCACAAGUUGUGGUUGGUUUGGAUUCUCAAUGGAACCAACACCAUGAUUUGUUUCUUGUCCACGUCACUAAAAGUAACUCU